rnacentral:rRNA from 1 species
UACGAAGGGGGCUAGCGUUGCUCGGAAUCACUGGGCGUAAAGCGCACGUAGGCGGCUUCUUAAGUCAGGGGUGAAAUCCUGGAGCUCAACUCCAGAACUGCCUUUGAUACUGAAGAUCUUGAGUUCGGGAGAGGUGAGUGAAACUGCGAGUGUAGAGGUGAAAUUCGUAGAUAUUCGCAAGAACACCAGUGGCGAAGGCGGCUCACUGGCCCGAUACUGACGCUGAGGCACGAAAGCGUGGGGAGCAAACAGGG